GAAUCGAACCUGCGACCUCUCGUUUCUGAGGCGAAUAAGAUAACCACUGCGCCACGAAGCCAAGGUCCAUGCACUUAGACGCUCGAUCCCUUCUCUUACAUCAAUAAUUUCUAUAGGACGAAAAGGAGGUCAAUCGGGUUCUAAUAAGUGUUUUCAUAAGUUCACGGUACAGAGAAAGGGUCAAACUACCACCAGGGUCAUAUAACUACCCCUGGAAAUGCACUCCCCCACACAACUCCUACGAAAGCCUUGUUAAACGUGUCUGUUAUUUUUAUAGGCCGAAAAGGAGGUCAGUCGGGUUCUAAUGAGUAUUUCCUUAGGUUCACGGUACAGAGGAAGGGUCAAACUACCACCAGGGUCAUAUAACUACCCCUGGAAAUGCCCAUAAAACUCCAACGAAAGCCUUGUUAUGCGUGUGUGCAAUCAUCUGUUAUUUUUAUAGGCCGAAAAGGAGGUCAAUCGGGUUCUAAUGAGUGUUUCCUUACGUUCACGGUACAGAGGAAGGGUCAAACUACCACCAGGGUCAUAUAACUACCCCUGGAAAUGCCCAUAUAACUCCUACGAAAGCCUUGUUAAACGUUAAACGACUUUUCCUUUUUUUUUUCCUCUCUGUUCUUGGUUGUAAUUAAACUCCAACCAAGAAUAGGGAGAAAAAAAAAA